rnacentral:rRNA from 1 species
AUCAGCCUUUCGGGUGCGAUUCUGUGGGGUUUGAGGAGCUUAACACCUUCAUGCUUUGCAUAUUCGUGCUCUUGGGUGUACUUGCCCGUGUGGUUGGUUAACAUCAAUUUUGGUGGUCAAAAAAUGACUGGAGGAAUGUAGCUUCGAUCUUGUAUUGAAGUGUUAUAGCCUUCGGUAGAUGUGAUGAUCGAGAUUGAGGAUUGCAGCGGAUACCCUUCGGGGCUACCUGUCUGGUCUCUGAUCGUUGCUCUGGUGCCGAAAGCUUGCUUACGGUUAUCAAAGUCGAUGGUCAAUAGGUUAGAACGGGUUAAAUUCGUUAAGGAUGUUGACGUAAUGGCUUU